CAAAGGUAGCAUAAUCACUUGCCUAUUAAUUGUAGGCUAGAAUGAAAGGAUCAACGAAAUAAAAACUGUCUCAGUUAGCCACCUAAAAAUUAUUUUCUAUUUGAAGAAAGAUAGAUACUCGUAGGACAAGAAGACCCUAUAGAGCUUCAUUUUAACUAUAGAAUAUAUGAAUAUUCGGUUGGGGCGACCCAGGGCUAAAUAAUCACCCUCAUAAAAGAUUUAUAAAUCAUGACCCUAAAGAUCAAAAGACCAAGCUACCUUAGGGAUAACAGGCUAAUUCCAUUCAAGAGUCCUUAUCAACAAUGGGGUUUGGCACCUCGAUGUUGGCUUAGGGUAUCUAUAUAGCGCAAAAGUU
rnacentral:rRNA from 1 species